AGUGAACGCUGGCGGUAGGCCUAACACAUGCAAGUCGAACGGCAGCACAGUAAGAGCUUGCUCUUACGGGUGGCGAGUGGCGGACGGGUGCGGAAUACAUCGGAAUCUACUUUUUCGUGGGGGAUAACGUAGGGAAACUUACGCUAAUACCGCAUACGACCUACGGGUGAAAGCAGGGGAUCUUCGGACCUUGCGCGAUUGAAUGAGCCGAUGUCGGAUUAGCUAGUUGGCGGGGUAAAGGCCCACCAAGGCGACGAUCCGUAGCUGGUCUGAGAGGAUGAUCAGCCACACUGGAACUGAGACACGGUCCAGACUCCUACGGGAGGCAGCAGUGGGGAAUAUUGGACAAUGGGCGCAAGCCUGAUCCAGCAAUACCGCGUGAGUGAAGAAGGCCUUCGGGUUGUAAAGCCCUUUUGUUGGGAAAGAAAAGCAGCAGGUUAAUACCCCGCUGUUCUGACGGUACCCAAAGAAUAAGCACCGGCUAACUUCGUG
rnacentral:rRNA from 1 species